rnacentral:tRNA from 1 species
GCCCAGGUGGUGGAAUGGCAUACACACCAGCUUGAGGGGCUGGCCUCGCAAGAGGGUGCGGGUUCAAGUCCCGCUCUGGGCACUA